AAAUGAAUAGACGGGGGCCCGCACAAGCGGUGGAGUAUGUGGUUUAAUUCGAUGCAACGCGAAGAACCUUACCUGGGUUUGAACUGCUGGGGACCGCCUCAGAGAUGAGGUUUUCCCUUCGGGGACUCCAGUAGAGGUGCUGCAUGGCUGUCGUCAGCUCGUGCCGUGAGGUGUUGGGUUAAGUCCCGCAACGAGCGCAACCCUUGUUCCUAGUUGCCAGCGGUUCGGCCGGGGACUCUAGGAAGACUGCCGGUGACAAACCGGAGGAAGGUGGGGAUGACGUCAAGUCAUCAUGGCCUCUAUGUCCAGGGCUACACACGUACUACAAUGGUCGGUACAAAGGGCUGCGAACCCGCGAGGGGGAGCCAAUCCCAAAAACCCGGCCUCAGUUCGGAUUGCAGUCUGCAACUCGACUGCAUGAAGGUGGAAUCGCUAGUAAUCGCGCAUCAGCAUGGCGCGGUGAAUACGUUCCCGGGCCUUGUACACACCGCCCGU
rnacentral:rRNA from 1 species